AAUGAAUGCCAGCCUUAAGUCAAAUGACCGGGAAGUUCUGCUGAUGGGCCUCAGUGCCUCUCAGUCCUGUCAGUCCUCCGGUGGGCUUUCCUCUAUGUCACAGGAUAUAAGAUCCCUGUCAUCGAGGAUCCGGGUGCGACCUUAGACCAGUUCGAUGCCAUUGAUUUUUCUGACAAUGAAAUCCGGAAACUGGACGGCUUCCCUCGCUGAGGAGACUGAAGACCCUCCUGGUGAACAACAACAGGAUAUGACAACCCGAGGGAAAGAGGAAUGCCCGACUGAACAGCCGGCCAUCGCAUGUUUUCACAGCGCCUGCCGCACCCGGGUGAGUUCCUUAGACAAAGGGUUGGGGUGCAGGAAGAGCCCCCGAGAGCCUCCAGGAAGCGUGGGUCCUAACACCAGGCCGCUCUGGCCCGCCACUGUGGCUCAGUGGUUGCGCAUCAACCACUCCCUUCCCCUCUCCGAAAUCAGGUGACCUGGACCCGCUGGCGUCGCUCAAGUCGCUGACCUACCUGAGGUAGGAGAUGACCCGGUGACAGUGAGUCCCUUACAACAACUCCCUGCCCGGCCUCGAUCUAAACAGCCAGUGAGGACAAAGGAAUGCUGAAUGGAACUUCAACUGGAAAAGACAGCCUAGCGCGGGGCAGCUGCAUUCCCGAUAGUGACCCGGGCACCUACGUCGACUCUCGGGGCUGAUCCGAAGCGGGCAGUGCCACCCCACCUUCAGGACCCCCAUCCCCGGUGUGCAGGUACAAGAUACAGCCGAUUCUCACCGUCGAUGUCUAUCCCUCUCCCGGAAAUCAAU